CAAAAAGUUAGCCUGGUGAGGCUGGAGGAUGAUGAGAUUUCCCCUCUUGUCACAUAAACAAGGAAGUAAAGGAGGCCCCUUGUGCUCUCAGAACUCCAAGCAUGAAACAAUUUUCUGCCAUUUCAGUUCCUGUUAUCAUGCUUCCAGGUGCACUGAACUGCAGCAAACCCAGGGGAUCCAAGGCUAUGUUGAAAAGCCUUUGACCGCAGUGCAGGGAGCAGAAGACAUUAAUGACGUGAUGUUGACGCAGCCCGCACUCAGGAUCCUCCAGAAAAAGAACACAGAGAUAACCCCAGAUCGAUGGUACUUUUUGAAAAUGCCUUACUGCAAAAGAGUGGCUAGGGUUUUACAAGGGCUGUGAAGAAACAUAUUAAGGUUAAUAAAGCUUUUUAUUGAGUGUUUA
rnacentral:antisense_RNA from 1 species